CCUGAACUCUAAGCAGGGAUUUGCAGAACUAAAAUAGAGGUCAUGAAGAUAAGUAAGCCUUUAGUGGUCUGUCUCACAGUGGGUUUUUUAGGUCUUCUAGCUUUUGCUCUGGGGUUGGCAGCAGAAAUCAAAAGGAUCAAGGUUUCUGAUGUCACAUUCACUUCUUAUCAUGAAUGUACGCACCCAAGAAGUGUGGCCUUCGCUCUUGGUUUGACUGCCUCACUAUCUCUUAUAAUUGCUCAUGUGAUUAUUCAUGUAUAAGCUGGGUCCUUCUGUUGCUGAUAUAGAAAUACUCUUCCUGAUCCAACCUCUAAUAGGAGGAAACUUUCAUGGUUUUCUUGGAGUACACUCAUUCUAGCAGUUCUCCUUUUACUAGCAGGAACCUCACUGAAUGAUUACAAAAGCAGUAAAGGAAGCACAAUCGUCGGCGCCAAAUGUUACCUGGUAAAGCCUGUAGUAUUUAUUGGGAGUGCCGUUGUGUCACUUGUGAAUGUAACCACAGGGAUUAUCUUUUAUCUCAUGAUUGUCUCAGCGAUAAAGAAGAUGGAAGGUGAUAAUGGUGGUGCUACUGGUUAUCCUAAUCCAGGUAAAGGUAUCCAAUUAGCCUAAGCCCAGAUUCUACUCGAAUGAGUGUGGCACAAGCACCAAUUCUUCUGGACAAGAUAAAACCGAAGUUGCAACGACCAAAAGUCACUAAACCCUGUUUUGGUUUGGAUAAUAGCCGGAAACAUGAAGAUCGGGGCAAUUUAUGCAAAUGGUUUGGCACGGCUGUUGCAGUAGCACUAUUUUGUUGUUGGUCAUCCGAGAAGUUAAUCAUUUUAUUGAUUUUGUUUUUUAUUUUGUAUAGCUUAUUCUUCAUUUUCAUCUAUGUAUAAAUCAGCAUUUACC